UGUAUUUAAAUAUAUUAUUAUUAUUAUAUAUAUAUAUAUAUAUAUAUAUAUAUAUAU
rnacentral:tRNA from 1 species